CCUUCCUUUCCGUGCUUAGGGGGCCGCGCUGAUGGCCCGCGGCUGGCCUAGGCGCAGGUGCGAGGCCCACGCCCUCCUCGGCCACAGCGGAGCAGGCACAGAUAACUGCUUAGAGUGACCCGGCGAGAGGACAGUGCGGACUCGCCCGGUCGGCGGUUCCGCAUCCACCACCCGCAGCCAGGCGGCCCGCGCACGGCCGAGGAGGGCCUGGGGAUCAGUUUGCAGGUGGAGCGGCAGUGCAUGAAGCCUCCGCUUCCUUCUCAUGCGGGUCCCCCUCCAGCCGACAAAGUAGAUGCUUAAAGCCAUUUAGAUUUCCAGUUGAGCUGGAGCUGCCUUGAUGAAAUGUCCUCACGUAUUCUGUCAAUGUCAGAAUGCAAACAUCACUAAAUAAACGCUGUGUCAAA
rnacentral:lncRNA from 12 species